GACGAGCGAAUAGCAUUCACGGCAUUGUUCCACGCCGACCUGGAGCAGGUUCCACUCGGAUGAAAGAACAAGGUACUGUUCUUAUGGAACAUAGGAGUCCUGUUCCUGGGCUCUCUGUCCUGUGCUAGCUUUAAAUCUGUGCUGGGCAGUCAGUUGCAAAUCAGGUUUUCCCCAACAUUCCCAGAAGCCUGCAGCUGCUGUCUCAGGUAUGUGCCCGGGGUGACUCAGGUAAAACUCUGUAUGCUUAGUGACUCAGAAAGUUAAUCAUUAACUUGGUGAAAUGCUACCUGCCGAGCACGGGUAAAGGGACCUUGAAGAAGAGGGCUUUGGAAUGUGGGCCUUCCAAUAAUGCCAUGAUGAUGGGAACAGCAGUCCUGCUCAGUGUUGCUUCUCGGGUGGAUCGGUGACUCACCCCAGAAUCAUCUGGGAUCAGAAAGAAGCUCCAGUCAGUCACUGUCAGGAGGAACAAUCCGCACCAGGGUUUACGCUUGAAUGUCGAAGACUUCUAGGAGGAGGAAAGAUACAAGACUGAUAACGCUUACGAUCGGAUUGGGGGGGUUUUCCUUCCCUCUCCUCUUUCAGCCUUGCAAAGACAAAUAAUGGUUAAGGAUGGAUAAAAUAUUUAAGAGUGGCCAUGCAUAAUUUAUUCCUGAGUUGUUGCUUAUUUCCAGCUGAAUAGUUUGCUCUCAAUUAGGACUUCUCAGAACCGCCAUGUCUCCUUGACAAACUGACAUUAGGCUUAUUUUUACUCUUUCCUUCCUAAGGCUAAUUGUUUUUAUUCUUUGUUGUGGUUGUUGAAGGACUCAUUCCUAGAUGUUCUUUUUAUCAAUAACAAAAAUCAAAAUUGGAGGCAGUUUUUCUUUUUUUAAAAUAUUUAUUCCUGGGUCUUACUCAGCUUACUCAGAGCUUCAGAGACAAUCUGGGAAAGACAAAAAUAUGCUUGCGUAUAUACCUGCCUCUAUGUGUGCUUAGUAGCUCAGUUGUGUCUGACUCUGAGACCCGAUGGACUGCAGCCCUCCAGGCUCCUCUGACUCUGGGAUCCUCCAGGCAAGAAUACCAGUGUGGGUAGCCAUUCCCUGCUCCAGGG
ensembl:lncRNA